UUAACUACAGAUAUCACGAGACCCAGUACUUUGGUACCAAAAUUUUGAAAACGUGACAGUACUCGUUUUUCUACAGUACCGUAGGUACCGGGGGAUGCAAUUCUUCUGGACCUGAUGGGACAUUAUAUGUCUACAAGUGUUCUAGUCUACCAUUAAUUGCUGGAGAAGAAGAAGAACGUCCACCAGCACAGA